rnacentral:rRNA from 1 species
AUUGAACGCUGGCGGCAGGCCUAACACAUGCAAGUCGAGCGGAUAAAGGGAGCUUGCUCCUGGAUUCAGCGGCGGACGGGUGAGUAAUGCCUAGGAAUCUGCCUGGUAGUGGGGGAUAACGUCCGGAAACGGGCGCUAAUACCGCAUACGUCCUGAUGGAGAAAGUGGGGGAUCUUCGGACCUCACGCUCUCAGAUGAGCCUAGGUCGGAUUAGCUAGUUGGUGGGGUAAAGGCCUACCAAGGCGACGAUCCGUAACUGGUCUGAGAGGAUGAUCAGUCACACUGGAACUGAGACACGGUCCAGACUCCUACGGGAGGCAGCAGUGGGGAAUAUUGGACAAUGGGCGAAAGCCUGAUCCAGCCAUGCCGCGUGUGUGAAGAAGGUCUUCGGAUUGUAAAGCACUUUAAGUUGGGAGGAAGGGCAGUAAGUUAAUACCUUGCUGUUUUGACGUUACCAACAGAAUAAGCACCGGCUAACUUCGUG